UUUGAAAUAGAUUACUGAGCC
rnacentral:piRNA from 1 species